rnacentral:rRNA from 1 species
CACGUAGGGUGCGAGCGUUGUCCGGAAUUAUUGGGCGUAAAGAGCUCGUAGGCGGUCCGUCACGUCGGAUGUGAAAUUCCAGGGCUCAACCCUGGACCUGCAUUCGAUACGGGCGGACUAGAGUUCGGUAGGGGAGACUGGAAUUCCUGGUGUAGCGGUGAAAUGCGCAGAUAUCAGGAGGAACACCGGCGGCGAAGGCGGGUCUCUGGGCCGAUACUGACGCUGAGGAGCGAAAGCGUGGGGAGCGAACAGG